AAAGGCUUAGUUAAAUAAUAACAUUAGAUUGUCAAACUAAAAUUACCCUUAUGUAGCUUUUA
rnacentral:tRNA from 1 species